UACGGAGGUGGCAAGCGUUGCUCGGAAUCACUGGGCUUAAAGGGCGCGUAGGCGGGCGGACAAGUCAGAGGUGAAAGCCCACGGCUCAACCGUGGAAGUGCCCCUGAUACUGUUCGUCUGGAGGGGGAUAGGGGCGUGCGGAACUUCCGGUGGAGCGGUGAAAUGCGUAGAUAUCGGAAGGAACACCGGUGGCGAAAGCGGCGCGCUGGAUCCCUACUGACGCUGAGGCGCGAAAGCCAGGGGAGCAAACGGG
rnacentral:rRNA from 1 species